UACGGGGGGGGGCAAGCGUUGUUCGGAAUUACUGGGCGUAAAGGGCUCGUAGGCGGCCAACUAAGUCAGACGUGAAAUCCCUCGGCUUAACCGGGGAACUGCGUCUGAUACUGUCGGGCUAGAGUGCGGAAGAGGCGAGUGGAAUUCCUGGUGUAGCGGUGAAAUGCGCAGAUAUCAGGAGGAACACCUAUUGCGAAGGCAGCUCGCUGGGACGUAACUGACGCUGAGACGCGAAAGCGUGGGGAGCAAACAGG
rnacentral:rRNA from 1 species